CGCGUAGGCGGUUAUUCAGGCCAGAGGUGAAAGCCCGGGGCUCAACCCCGGAACUGCCUUUGAAACUAGAUGACUAGAAUCUUGGAGAGGUCAGUGGAAUUCCGAGUGUAGAGGUGAAAUUCGUAGAUAUUCGGAAGAACACCAGUGGCGAAGGCGACUGACUGGACAAGUAUUGACGCUGAGGUGCGAAAGCGUGGGGAGCAAACA
rnacentral:rRNA from 1 species